UACAGAGGUCUCAAGCGUUGUUCGGAUUCAUUGGGCGUAAGGGUGCGUAGGUGGUGAUGGCAAGUCUGGUGUGAAAUCUCGGAGCUCAACUCCGAAAUUGCACCGGAUACUGCGUGACUCGAGGACUGUAGAGGAGAUCGGAAUUCUCGGUGUAGCGGUGAAAUGCGUAGAUAUCGAGAGGAACACCUGCGGCGAAGGCGGGUUGCUGGGCUGACACUGACGCUGAUGCGCGAAAGCCAGGGGAGCGAACGGG
rnacentral:rRNA from 1 species